AUGCAGCAGCUACCAUGCAGUCGAGCGGUAGCACAGAGAGCUUGCUCUCGGGUGACGAGCGGCGGACGGGUGAGUAAUGUCUGGGAAACUGCCUGAUGGAGGGGGAUAACUACUGGAAACGGUAGCUAAUACCGCAUAACGUCGCAAGACCAAAGAGGGGGACCUUCGGGCCUCUUGCCAUCAGAUGUGCCCAGAUGGGAUUAGCUAGUAGGUGGGGUAACGGCUCACCUAGGCGACGAUCCCUAGCUGGUCUGAGAGGAUGACCAGCCACACUGGAACUGAGACACGGUCCAGACUCCUACGGGAGGCAGCAGUGGGGAAUAUUGCACAAUGGGCGCAAGCCUGAUGCAGCCAUGCCGCGUGUAUGAAGAAGGCCUUCGGGUUGUAAAGUACUUUCAGCGGGGAGGAAGGUGUUGAGGUUAAUAACCUCAGCAAUUGACGUUACCCGCAGAAGAAGCACCGGCUAACUCCGUGCCAGCAGCCGCGGUAAUACGGAGGGUGCAAGCGUUAAUCGGAAUUACUGGGCGUAAAGCGCACGCAGGCGGUCUGUCAAGUCGGAUGUGAAAUCCCCGGGCUCAACCUGGGAACUGCAUUCGAAACUGGCAGGCUAGAGUCUUGUAGAGGGGGGUAGAAUUCCAGGUGUAGCGGUGAAAUGCGUAGAGAUCUGGAGGAAUACCGGUGGCGAAGGCGGCCCCCUGGACAAAGACUGACGCUCAGGUGCGAAAGCGUGGGGAGCAAACAGGAUUAGAUACCCUGGUAGUCCACGCCGUAACGAUGUCGACUUGGAGGUUGUGCCCUUGAGGCGUGGCUUCCGGAGCUAACGCGUUAAGUCGACCGCCUGGGGAGUACGGCCGCAAGGUUAAAACUCAAAUGAAUUGACGGGGGCCCGCACAAGCGGUGGAGCAUGUGGUUUAAUUCGAUGCAACGCGAGAACCUUACCUACUCUUGACAUCCAGAGAACUUACCAGAGAUGCUUUGGUGCCUUCGGGAACUCUGAGACAGGUGCUGCAUGGCUGUCGUCAGCUCGUGUUGUGAAAUGUUGGGUUAAGUCCCGCAACGAGCGCA
rnacentral:rRNA from 1 species